UACAGGACAGCACUUGUCCAGUUGUGGAAAAUGUUGUUAUUGGACAUUGACGGUAAUUCUGGAGUCCCUUUGCAGCAUCCCAAAGGCAUACAGUCUAUAUAAUGGAAAAUGAAGACUGAUACAUCGUUUGAGUUUAUGACCUACCUAGAGCUUCCUCAAAUGUAGCGUGCAGUCACAGAAUGGGCUCCUGAGGACCUACAGAGAAGAUUAAAAAUAGUUGCAUUUCUGUGGAUAUGCUUUUCUGUUGUGGCAGUUUAAGAUACUCUGGGAUGGUAUUUUGUCAAGGAAUAAAGAUUUCUUCUGAUCUCUGUGAAAUGCAGUGUUCGAUCCUACCAGACAACAUUUGGUUCAAGCUUUGUGCCACAAUUUUUACCUGA
rnacentral:lncRNA from 1 species